rnacentral:rRNA from 1 species
CACGUAAGGGGCGAGCGUUGUUCGGAAUUAUUGGGCGUAAAGGGCGCGUAGGCGGUACUGCAAGCCCGGCGUGAAAACCAGGGGCUUAACUUCUGGCUUGCGCUGGGAACUGCGGUACUAGAGUCACGGAAGGGGAGCUGGAAUUCCAGGUGUAGGGGUGAAAUCUGUAGAUAUCUGGAAGAACACCGGUGGCGAAGGCGAGCUUCUGGCUGAUGACUGACGCUGAGGCGCGAAAGCGUGGGGAGCAAACAGG